UACGGAGGGUGCGAGCGUUGUCCGGAAUUACUGGGCGUAAAGGGCGCGUAGGCGGCCCGGUUAGUCGGCUGUGAAAGCCCGGAGCUCAACUCCGGGACGGCCGUCGAUACUUCCGGGCUUGAGUACUGUAGAGGCAGAUGGAAUUCCGGGUGUAGCGGUGGAAUGCGUAGAGAUCCGGAAGAACACCGGUGGCGAAGGCGGUCUGCUGGGCAGUUGCUGACGCUGAUGCGCGAAAGCGUGGGGAGCAAACAGG
rnacentral:rRNA from 1 species